GUGGUUGUUCGUCCUGCGAGUUCCCUGGUUCCUUGCCUUAGCCUUUGGGCGAAAAUAAAGCGCUGUUCUCCCUAAACCGUCUGCGUCUGGGUCCUACCUGCGUGCCUGCACCCGCAACCGUAACAUGUCCAGCUUAAUCCUUCACGGACAAGGGUUGCCAUUCCGUGCGUCGACAGAUAGACCCAGCGAGGAGGAACCCAGGCAGCUUGAGGUUGUUGCCAGAAACCAGUGUGUCUCUUGCAGGAGGACUACUGCCACUUUAUUGGAAUCGGCGAGAUGCCUGAUGACUUCGAGUUUGGCGAUGAAACCGCCUGGAGAGUACGGCCAGAGUUUGCUCUAAAAUAAUUGGACUUUCAACAAGAACUCUCUCCUCCAUCCACGAUCAGCAAACACUCCGGUUAGCCAACAGAAUUAUGCAGGACCCCUCACACGCUCUAUACCCCGCCUUUGAGUGGCUCCCCUCAGGGCGCCGACUACGCUGCCUCGGCUGUAGGACACAGAGGAGAAAAGCAACCUUUGUUCCCAAGGCUGUUCACCUCCUCAACUCCUCCUAAACCCCCCACCCGGGCUUGUGCCCUCCCCACAUGGACUGGUGAAGCCGUGAACUCUGUUUUGCCCUCUCACUCCCAUUGACUGUUAAAACAUAGGUACCCCGCCUCGGUUCAUCUCAGGUGUAUUGUAACCAGCAUGGUAUUUGUUAGCUGAUUGCGCUUUAUAUUUAUGUAAUAUAUAUUAUUUGACACAUUUUGCACUUUUGGGAGUCAGUUCUCUAUUUGUAAGCGUGCACUUUGCAUAUUUUAUGCAUGUUUAUAUGGAUGUGUGUGUUUGUGGACACCUGUGCUUGUGUGUGUUGUCUGCCCGGUAGCAAUGCUGUGUUUUUGUUUUUGUUUGUUUUUUGUUUUGUUUGGACAUGGCCCUGUCCUUUGUAAUGCUGCUGCUAUGUGCCCUCAGUUGCCCCCUGGGGACAAAUAAAGUUUUUUUGAAUUGAAUUGAAUACCACUAUCAACUUGUGGGCUACAGCCCUACAGGAAAGGCUCAC
ensembl:lncRNA